rnacentral:rRNA from 1 species
CCUACGGGAGGCAGCAGUGGGGAAUAUUGCGCAAUGGGCGAAAGCCUGACGCAGCGACGCCGCGUGAGGGAUGAAGGUCUUCGGAUCGUAAACCUCUGUCAGCAGGGAAGAACGGUCACUGUGCUAAUCAGCAGUGAAUUGACGGUACCUGCAAAGGAAGCACCGGCUAACUCCGUGCCAGCAGCCGCGGUAACACGGAGGGUGCGAGCGUUAAUCGGAAUUACUGGGCGUAAAGCGCUCGUAGGCGGUAUGUCAAGUCAAGGGUGAAAUCCCCCGCUCAACAUGGGAACUGCCUUUGAAACUGGCAAACUGGAGUGUGUGAGAGGAUAGUGGAAUUGCAGGUGUAGGAGUGAAAGCCGUAGAUAUCUGGAGGAACAUCAGUGGCGAAGGCGACUAUCUGGCACAUAACUGACGCUGAGGAGCGAAAGCGUGGGUAGCAAACAGGAUUAGAUACCCUAGUAGUC